rnacentral:rRNA from 1 species
CGGGGCUGGUCUAGUAUAGCAUUAUACCGUGAAACUGCGAAUGGCUCAUUAAAUCAGUUAUCGUUUAUUUGAUAGUACCUUACUACUUGGAUAACCGUGGUAAUUCUAGAGCUAAUACAUGCUAAAAACCCCGACUUCGGGAGGGGUGUAUUUAUUAGAUAAAAAACCAAUGCCCUUCGGGGCUCCUUGGUGAUUCAUAAUAACUUAACGGAUCGCAUGGCCUUGCGCCGGCGACGGUUCAUUCAAAUUUCUGCCCUAUCAACUUUCGAUGGUAAGGUAUUGGCUUACCAUGGUUUCAACGGGUAACGGGGAAUUAGGGUUCGAUUCCGGAGAGGGAGCCUGAGAAACGGCUACCACAUCCAAGGAAGGCAGCAGGCGCGCAAAUUACCCAAUCCCGACACGGGGAGGUAGUGACAAUAAAUACUGAUACAGGGCUCUUUUGGGUCUUGUAAUCGGAAUGAGUACAAUUUAAACCCCUUAACGAGGAACAAUUGGAGGGCAAGUCUGGUGCCAGCAGCCGCGGUAAUUCCAGCUCCAAUAGCGUAUAUUAAAGUUGUUGCAGUUAAAAAGCUCGUAGUUGAACCUUGGGCCUGGCUGGCCGGUCCGCCUCACCGCGUGUACUGGUCCGGCCGGGCCUUUCCUUCUGGAGAUCCUCAUGCCCUUCACUGGGUGUGUUGGGGAACCAGGACUUUUACUGUGAACAAAUUAGAGUGUUCAAAGCAGGCCUUUGCUCGAAUACAUUAGCAUGGAAUAAUAGAAUAGGACGUGCGGUCCUAUUUUGUUGGUUUCUAGGACCGCCGUAAUGAUUAAUAGGGAUAGUCGGGGGCAUCAGUAUUCAAUUGUCAGAGGUGAAAUUCUUGGAUUUAUUGAAGACUAACUACUGCGAAAGCAUUUGCCAAGGAUGUUUUCAUUAAUCAGUGAACGAAAGUUAGGGGAUCGAAGACGAUCAGAUACCGUCGUAGUCUUAACCGUAAACUAUGCCGACUAGGGAUCGGGCGAUGUUUCUAUCUUGACUCGCUCGGCACCUUACGAGAAAUCAAAGUUUUUGG